UACGUAGGGUGCGAGCGUUAAUCGGAAUUACUGGGCGUAAAGCGUGCGCAGGCGGCGCGUUAAGACAGGUGUGAAAGCCCCGAGCUUAACUUGGGAAUUGCGCUUGUGACAGGCGUGCUGGAGUGUGGCAGAGGGAAGUGGAAUUCCACGUGUAGCAGUGAAAUGCGUAGAGAUGUGGAGGAACACCGAUGGCGAAGGCAGCCUCCUGGGCCAGCACUGACGCUCAUGCACGAAAGCGUGGGGAGCAAACAGG
rnacentral:rRNA from 1 species